AUGUGGGAUCUUCCCGGACCGGGGCACGAACCCGCGUCCCCUGCAUCGGCAGGCGGACUCUCAACCACUGCGCCACCAGGGAAGCCCAGCAGAGGGUUUUUUAAACAAGUUGUUCCUUUACCUGCUGUUCUGUAAAACAAGCUCAAGAAUUGGGCACCAUUUCAAGCUCUUCUAAUGUUCUAGGAUACCUAUAAGUUUGAGGUUCUUUCCUGAGUUGCCCCACAGGUUGUAGCUCUCAGCAGAGUGUUGCAUUUCUACAGCAGAGGUGAGCAAACUAUGACAGUGGUGCAUCUGUGUCUAAGUUUUGCCCGACUCGGGCAGUUUUCUCCAGCGAGAGGUCCUCAGGAGGCACCCAUUUAAGAGUCCAUGUCCCACCAAUAGGCACCAAUCCCUAACAAAGGAUGGUAAGAAACAGUAGCUACUGUUUUGCUCUUGAGCACAAUUUUCUUUCAACCGUUAUUCAGAUGAUGCAGGUGGAAACAACAAACUCACAAAAUCUAUGAUUUUUAACUUAAACUAUAUUGCUUUAAAGAAAAUGUAGGAGCCACUAUUCCCAAGGGAUUGAACACUUCACUACUCCUUCCCACAUGCCCACCAUUGCACUAGGCAUGGAUAGAUACAAAAGAAGGGAACUAUCACACCAGAAUCGAUACAUGCUCUGAAUAUGGGUUUGUCUUCCCUGACUGCUUUGCCUCCAUCUGCACCGUCAUCUGAGGGCUUAUAGGAUGCCUUAUCCACUGGAUAUACCUUAAACCAAAGAACCCAUUUUAUAGUCAAGGAGGUGUGACAAUGAGCUUGUAACCACAGAAUUCACAGCGUUUACUCAUCAGCCAGAAACAACUAGCACGAUGGAACUGUGGAAUGGCACGUUGAAGACUUAGCUAAAUUGCUGAUACAAGAUACAGCACCUUGUGAAGCUGGGGAGCUGUCCUCCAAGAUACAGUAUAUGCAUUGAACCAAUAACAUAUAUAUGGUAUUGUGUCUCCAACAGAAAGACUACAUGGAUACAGAAACCAAGGAGUCAAAAGAGGAGUGGCCCCUAUUAACCAUCAUAACCAGCAACCUAUGUGUGGAAUUUGUGCUUCCUGUCUCCCCAGUCUAGAGUCUGUUGGGACAGCAAAAACUGAUCUCAUAAAACAUCUAGGACAAAAAGGAAAGUCCUGCAGACAGACCCUGUUUGGAUCAAGUGAGCCAGUUCUUUGAACCUGAACAAUGACUGCUGAAUCAGGCAAUGCUACAGAUUUGUCUCCCCAGGCUACCCAGGAGAUGGAAGGCGCAGUGAUAGUGAAAGCGGAGGAGGAAGAGGAAGAAGAUGAGGAAGACCGUUUUCAAACAGAAAGAAAUAGCCUAGAGUUAUCACCCCAAUUUCUUAGUCGUUCCACAACUAUGAAUGAGAGAGCCUUAAUAUCAUCAUAUUUAGUGGUGUAUCGAGUGGCAAAAGAAAAAAUGGCUCACACAGCUGCUGAAAAAUUAUUCUCCCAGCAUGUAUGGAUAUGGUACGUACCAUCUUUGAUGAUAAAUCAGCUGAUAAAUUAAGAACUAUACCUCUUAGUGAUAAUACAAUAUCUCGUCGAAUCUGUACUAUUGCAAAACAUUUAGAAGCAAUGCUUAUGACACGGCUACAGUCUGGUAUAGAUUUUGCAAGCCAACUUGAUGAGAGCACUGAUAUUGCAAGUUGUCCCACACUCUUGGUAUAUGUCAGGUAUGUGUGGCAAGAUGAUUUUAUAGAAGAUCUGUUGUGUUGUUUAAAUUUAAAUUCACAUAUAACUGGAUUAGAUUGAUUCACUGAAUUAGAAAAGUGCAUUGUUGGUCAACAUAAAUUAAGCUGGAAAAAUUGUAAAGGAAUUUCAAGUGAUGGAGCAGCAAAUAUGACUGGGAAACAUAGCAGUUAUUGAAAAAUUGUUAGAAGCCACCCAUAACAACUGUCUUUGGAAUCAUUGUUUUAUUCACCGAGAAGCUUUGGUAUCCAAAGAAAUUCCACCGAGCCUAAUGGAGGUAUUGAAACAUGCAGUGAAAAUUGUUAAUUUUAUUAAAGGAAGCUCAUCGAAUAGCCGACUUCUUGAAAUAUUGUGUCAGAGAUUGGAGUGAACCAUACCCACUUAUUGUUUCAUACAGAAGUUCAUUGGUUGUCUCAAGGAAAAGUAUUGAGCAGAGUAUACGAACUCAGGAAUGAGAUUUACAUUUUUCUCAUUGAAAAGCAAUCGCAUUUGGCAAAUAUUUUUGAAGAUGACAUUUGGGUAACAAAAUUGGCGUAUUUAAGUGACAUUUUUGGCAUUUAAAAUGAAUUAAAUUCGAAGCUACAAGGGAAAAACAAUGAUAUAUUUCAAUAUCUUGAACACGUUCAAGGAUUCCAAAAGGCAUUAUUGUUAUGGCAGGUAAGACUUAAAAGUAAUCGCCCCAGCUACUACAUGUUCCCAACGCUGUUGCAACACAUUGAAGAGAACGUUAUUCAUGAAGACUGCUUAAGAGAAAUAAAAUUAGAGAUAUUAGUACAUCUCACUUCUUUGUCUCAAAUCUUCAAUCGUUACUUUAGAGAAGAGAAAUUUGCACUGUUAAAGGAAGCUGUUUGGAUGAAAGAUCCAUUUGCUUAUCAAACCCCAGAAUCAAUAAUUGAGUUACACUUGGUGCCUGAAGAAGAGAAUGAAUUACUGCAGCUCAGUUCGUCAUUCACACUGAGGAAUUAUUAUAGGACAUUAAGUUUAUCAGCACUUUGGAUUAAGAUUAAAGAUGAAUUUCCACUGCUAAGUAGAAAGAGUAUAUCGCUAUUAUUACCAUUCACAUCUACCUAUUUGUGUGAACUAGGAUUUUCGCUCUUGACACGAUUAAAAACAAAGAAAAGAAAUCAGCUCAACAGUGCACCUGACAUGCGUGUUGCCUUAUCUUCAUGUGUGCCUGACUGGAACGAACUCAUGAACAGACAAGCACACCCAUCACAUUAAGUACAAUCGUUACGAAAUUUUGUUUUUGUACGUUCUUAGGCACUUUUUGUAUAUUGUAUUUAAAUAUUAAUAAAAUUAUGGUUGGGAUUUACUAGGUUUCAUUUUCUUGUAUAGUAAGUAUUGUCUCGUGAAACUUGUUUGUUACAUGAAUAUGUGUGUAUGUGUAUGCAGAGUAAUGAUGUAAAAUAUAUUUCUAUGAAUUGCUGUCAA